UCUUAUUCUAUUCCACUAGCUUAAAGUGCGUCUUUCCAAAAGACUGAAAACCCUUGUUGAUGCUCUGAAUUUUUUUUUUGUCCCUGUUGCCUUAUUUGUACUUGCAAUUUCUGGUACUUGUGGUUUACCACCGGGCCUUCUGGCCUAAGUGGUACCCGGUUCACUUGGUGACCGCCAGCUCAGGGGUUCUAUCCCCUGCAUAAACAAUUACCCAGCAAAAAAAAUUUCUGGUACUUGUGGUUUGAAAUUAGAAGAUCUCCAGUUGGUUUCACUUCAGACGUAUAAUUUCUUGCUAAAUGCGCUGGAUAUAUAUAUACAUUAACUAAUAGUUAGUUCACUCCCCUCCCCUCCCCCCUUUCUUUUUUGCUUAGAAAAAGUGAGGAGGGACUUUAACUCAGGUUUUCUCCAUAGGUUGAUCAGGCAGUACCACUAACAUAACUAUUGAAAAAGAUGUUAGGUAUAUCUUUUGAAUCAGAUCAAUCUGGGCCUGUUGGGUAUUGCUGCGAACUUUCGUAAUCAGUUUUUUAUGAGUGCUUUGGUGGUACCACCAGACCAUUAUGGUUCCAUAUGCAUGCCAUUGGUGACAGUGACACCCCCAAUUAUUACAAUCCUUGAAAUGUACAUUUACCUUAGGCCAGCUUGAAGUGGAAAGAAGAAGAGGCCUAUUGGUGUUCGCAAUGGCUCCAUUUUACUCAAAUCUGUAGGAUCAACACAUAAAAGUCCAUUUCAUUGGAGUCGGUAUUUGGGUUUCUGAUUGUUGCAGAUAUUUGGUCUGAGUGCUUUGAAAGACAAGAUGUGAGGGAGUUUGGGAAUGAAUUAGAGGUGGCGCCUAUGGUGUUUUUAUUUUUAUAUCAUUUUAAACAUUUUUCAAGAUUUUCCUUACAAAUCUACUCUCUGAAACCCAAAUUGUUUUUCCUCCAUUCCAUUUUGGGAUGUCCCAAAAUAAAGUCCUCUUUGAAAAGUCAAUAAAUAAAUUUCCUAA